rnacentral:rRNA from 1 species
AUUGAACGCUGGCGGCAGGCCUAACACAUGCAAGUCGAACGAUUGGCGGACGGGUGAGUAAUGUCUGGGAAACUGCCCGAUGGAGGGGGAUAACUACUGGAAACGGUAGCUAUUACCGCAUACCUUCAGAUGUGCCCAGAUGGGAUUAGCUUGUUGGUGGGGUAACGGUUCACCAAGGCGACGAUCCCUAGCUGGUCUGAGAGGGUGACCGGCCACCCUGGAACUGAGACAGGGUCCGAGCUCCAACGGAGGGCGGCGGUGGGGAAUGUUGCACAGUGGGGGCAAGCCUGAUGCAGCCAUGCCGCGUGUAUGAGGAAGGCCUUCGGGUGGUAAGGUACUUUCAGCGGGGAGGCGUUACCCGCAGAAGAAGCACCGGCUAACUCCGUGCCAGCAGCCGCGGUAAUUC